GACGAACGCUGGCGGCGCGCUUAAUACAUGCAAGUCGAGCGAGAACCAGAGCUUCGGCUCUGGGGACAGCGGCGAACGGGUGAGUAACACGUGAGUAAUCUGCCCUCGGCACCGGGAUAGCCCGGGGAAACCCGGAUUAAUACCGGAUAGCCUCCCGAGCUCUCGGGCUCGUGAGAAAAGGUAGCCUCGGCCUCUGCCCGGGGAGGAGCUCGCGGCGGAUUAGCUUGUUGGUGGGGUAACGGCUCACCAAGGCGACGAUCCGUAGCUGGUCUGAGAGGACGAUCAGCCACACUGGGACUGAGACACGGCCCAGACUCCUACGGGAGGCAGCAGUAGGGAAUCUUGCGCAAUGGGCGAAAGCCUGACGCAGCGACGCCGCGUGCGGGAAGAAGGCCUUCGGGUUGUAAACCGCUUUCAGGAGGGACGAAGCCACUCGGGUUAAUAGCCCAGAGGGUGACGGUACCUCCAGAAGAAGCCCCGGCUAACUACGUGCCAGCAGCCGCGGUAACAC
rnacentral:rRNA from 1 species